UACGUAGGGUGCAAGCGUUAAUCGGAAUUACUGGGCGUAAAGCGUGCGCAGGCGGUUGUGCAAGACCGAUGUGAAAUCCCCCGGGCUUAACCUGGGAAUGGCAUUGGUGACUGUACGGCUAGAGUGUGUCAGAGGGGGGUAGAAUUCCACGUGUAGCAGUGAAAUGCGUAGAUAUGUGGAGGAAUACCGAUGGCGAAGGCAGCCCCCCUGGGAUAACACUGACGCUCAUGCACGAAAGCGUGGGGAGCAAACAGG
rnacentral:rRNA from 1 species